AUACUUACCUGGCAGAGUUGAUACCAUCAUCACCAAGGUAGUUUUCCAAGGACAAGCCUUCAUCCUUGUAGCCUUUUAGCCUAGAUGUGUUAACCCUUAUGAUUUCCCCAAAGGUGCCAAAUGUGGGAAACUGACUGUGUAAUUCGUGUUAGUGAAGAACUAAAUUCACAUUUUCCUCUA
ensembl:snRNA LOC120096806 U1 spliceosomal RNA